GGAUUUAGCUCAGUGGUUUGAGCGCGGUGCUGGAAAUAAUAACCAACACCGAGGUUGCGGGUUCGAUUCCCGCUCGAUCCC
rnacentral:tRNA from 1 species